rnacentral:rRNA from 1 species
GAUGAACGCUGGCGGCGUGCCUAAUACAUGCAAGUCGAGCGAACGGACGAGAAGCUUGCUUCUCUGAUGUUAGCGGCGGACUGGUGAGUAACACGUGGAUAACCUACCUAUAAGACUGGGAUAACUUCGGGAAGCCGUAGCUAAUACCGGAUAAUAUUUUGAACCGCAUGGUUCAAAAGUGAAAGACGGUCUUGCUGUCACUUAUAGAUGGAUCCGCGCUGCAUUAGCUAGUUGGUAAGGUAACGGCUUACCAAGGCAACGAUGCAUAGCCGACCUGAGAGGGUGAUCGGCCACACUGGAACUGAGACACGGUCCAGACUCCUACGGGAGGCAGCAGUAGGGAAUCUUCCGCAAUGGGCGAAAGCCUGACGGAGCAACGCCGCGUGAGUGAUGAAGGUCUUCGGAUCGUAAAACUCUGUUAUUAGGGAAGAACAUAUGUGUAAGUAACUGUGCACAUCUUGACGGUACCUAAUCAGAAAGCCACGGCUAACUACGUG